rnacentral:rRNA from 1 species
GAUGAACGCUAGCGGCAGGCCUAAUACAUGCAAGUCGGACGGGAUUUGGGAGCUUGCUCCCAAUGAGAGUGGCGCACGGGUGCGUAACACGUAUGUAACCUACCUUAAUCAGGGGGAUAGCCUCUCGAACGAGAGAUUAACACCGCAUAACAUCAUGGAAUAGCAUUAUUUUAUGGUCAAAUAUUUAUAGGAUUAAGAUGGGCAUGCGGGACAUUAGCUAGUUGGCGGGGUAACGGCCCACCAAGGCGACGAUGUCUAGGGGAUCUGAGAGGAUGGCCAGCAACACUGGAACUGCGGCACGGACCAGGCUCCUACGGGAGGCAGCAGUAAGGAAUAUUGGUCAAUGGGCGCAAGCCUGAACCAGCCAGGCCGCGUGCAGGAAGACGGCCCUACGGGUUGUAAACUGCUUUUGUACGGGAAUAAACCUCUCUACGUGUAGAGAGCUGAAUGUACUGUAAGAAUAAGGAUCGGCUAACUCCGUGCCAGCAGCCGCUGUAAGAC